UGAGAAGGAACGUUAUGAGAAGGAAUUCAGCCAAGAAAGACAGCAAGACAUUUUGAGAAGAGCAGCAAGAGACUUGCCUGUCUACACCACGUCAGCUUCAAAAGCUAUCCGAUAUUGUGAAAAAUGUCAGUUGAUUAAACCUGACCGGGCCCAUCACUGCUCAGCAUGUGACAGAUGUGUUCUUAAGAUGGAUCAUCACUGUCCAUGGGUGAAUAACUGUGUGGGAUUUACUAAUUACAAGUUCUUCAUGCUGUUUUUGUUGUAUUCUCUGCUGUAUUGCCUUUUCGUGGCUGCAACAGUUUUAGAGUAUUUUAUAAAAUUUUGGACGCUUUGCCGCAGGAAAUCUACAGAGAAUUGCCCAAAGAAUGAACCAACAGUUUUAACGUUCCCCAGCGCAAAGUUCCCCAGCGCAAAGUUCCAUGUUCUGUUCCUGUUCUUUGUGUCUGCAAUGUUCUUCGUCAGUGUGCUUUCACUGUUCAGCUACCAUUGCUGGUUGGUUGGAAAAAAUAGAACAACAAUAGAAUCAUUUCGUGCACCUAUGUUUUCUUAUGGAAUAGAUGGAAAUGGUUUCUCUCUUGGAUGCAGUAAAAAUUGGCGACAAGUCUUUGGUGAUGAAAAGAAAUAUUGGCUAGUUCCAAUAUUUUCAAGCUUGGGUGAUGGUUGCAGUUUUCCAACUCGCCUUGUGGGGAUGGAUCCAGAACAAGCGUCUAUUGCAAACCAGGGUGAAUACAUCAGAAGUAUUGGCUCAAAUCAACCUUUUCCUAUCAAACCACUUAGUGAGUCAAAAAACCGUUUGUUGGACAGUGAAUCUCAGUGGCUAGAGAAUGGAGCUGAGGAAGGAAUCACCAAAUCAGGGACAAAUAACCAUGUUACAGUGGCAAUAGAAAAUUGAGUACUGCCUGUUCAUAACUAACCAUUUGAUGAGUGAAAGGUAUAUAAAAACACAUUUUGGACUAUUUUCAGUUUUAUUUGGAAGAAAAUGAUGGAUGGAAUGAAAUACUCGCAGUAUAACAGAAGAUAUAUUUUUAAAAGGACGUGUUUGUACAGUGAUGGCUCCACAGAAGCACUACAAAGCAGAAAGAUGCCUUAAUUCUUAGUGUCCAUUGUGUAACAUUGCCUCACAGCUCAAAAGUGACUUAAUUCUUAGUGUCCAUUGUGUAACAUUGCCUCACAGCUC
rnacentral:lncRNA from 1 species